rnacentral:lncRNA from 1 species
UUUCAUGUUUAACAGAGGUGUCUUCAAGGAGAUGAAACAAUUCAGAAUGACCUAGGCAAUGGGGUAAUUCCUAAGUAUUGUAGGUCAAGAUAUUGGUUACCUAUGAGGGGGUGAUGCCUGGAGGAAGACCUAAGGGGAGGUCUUCUGGAUACUGAGUGCAUGGACCCCACCACCGUGCCCUGAGGAAGCCCAAACAACCCAUGGAGACAUCCGCAUGGAGAGACCUGUGCCCUCAGUCCUGGUUGAACUCCCAGCUGACAGUCAAUGUCAACUUGCCAGCCAUAUGAGUGAACCAUACUGAAGUUCAUCAUCCAUCCCUGAGUAAAGCUACGUGAGCUGACACCAUGUGGAGAAGAAACAAGCAUUCUUACUGAGCCCCGCCCAAAUUGCCGAUUCAUGAACUAAAAAAAAAGAUUGCUGUUCAUUUAAGCCACUAAAUUUUAGGAAUGUUUAGUAAGCAGCAAUCUAUAACUAGAACAAUGGUCAAUAAAUGAAAAUUUUACUUUAAGAAGGCAUACUAUAGCCACAUAACUUUGGGAAACUCUCUUGGUUAAAGUUUUAAAAAUUUCCCUUACUGCAGAGCUUUUAAUGGGCUAAUGUGUUUCAUGUUCCCUCACAAGAGUAUCCAGUGUUUCUCAAACAUUUUUAACCACAGAAUCUGUAUUGUAAAGUGCCAUCUUGCGAGAUUGGGGUUAACGGCCAGACUUUAAGAAAACCAAAUGAACUUUUCAGUAAUUCAAUAAUUGAAAUUCUAAUUCUUAAAAUUGCAAAGAGUUUACAU